GGUUAAGCGACUAAGCGUACACGGUGGAUGCCCUGGCAGUCAGAGGCGAUGAAGGACGUGCUAAUCUGCGAAAAGCGUCGGUAAGGUGAUAUGAACCGUUAUAACCGGCGAUGUCCGAAUGGGGAAACCCAGUGCAAUUCGUUGCACUAUCGUUAACUGAAUACAUAGGUUAACGAGGCGAACCGGGGGAACUGAAACAUCUAAGUACCCCGAGGAAAAGAAAUCAACCGAGAUUCCCCCAGUAGCGGCGAGCGAACGGGGAGCAGCCCAGAGUCUGAAUCAGCUUGUGUGUUAGUGGAACGGUCUGGAAAGUCCGACGGUACAGGGUGAUAGUCCCGUACACCAAAAUGCACAGGCUGUGAACUCGAAGAGUAGGGCGGGACACGUGGUAUCCUGUCUGAAUAUGGGGGGACCAUCCUCCAAGGCUAAAUACUCCUGACUGACCGAUAGUGAACCAGUACCGUGAGGGAAAGGCGAAAAGAACCCCGGCGAGGGGAGUGAAAAAGAACCUGAAACCGUGUACGUACAAGCAGUGGGAGCACCUUCGGGUGUGACUGCGUACCUUUUGUAUAAUGGGUCAGCGACUUAUAUUCUGUAGCAAGGUUAACCGUAUAGGGGAGCCGCAGGGAAACCGAGUCUUAACUGGGCGUUAAGUUGCAGGGUAUAGACCCGAAACCCGGUGAUCUAGCCAUGGGCAGGUUGAAGGUUGGGUAACACUAACUGGAGGACCGAACCGACUAAUGUUGAAAAAUUAGCGGAUGACUUGUGGCUGGGGGUGAAAGGCCAAUCAAACCGGGAGAUAGCUGGUUCUCCCCGAAAGCUAUUUAGGUAGCGCCUCGUGAAUUCAUCUUCGGGGGUAGAGCACUGUUUCGGCUAGGGGGUCAUCCCGACUUACCAACCCGAUGCAAACUACGAAUACCGAAGAAUGUUAUCACGGGAGACACACGGCGGGUGCUAACGUCCGUCGUGAAGAGGGAAACAACCCAGACCGCCAGCUAAGGUCCCAAAGUCAUGGUUAAGUGGGAAACGAUGUGGGAAGGCACAGACAGCCAGGAUGUUGGCUUAGAAGCAGCCAUCAUUUAAAGAAAGCGUAAUAGCUCACUGGUCGAGUCGGCCUGCGCGGAAGAUGUAACGGGGCUAAACCAUGCACCGAAGCUGCGGCAGCGACACUAUGUGUUGUUGGGUAGGGGAGCGUUCUGUAAGCCUGCGAAGGUGACCUGUGAGGGUUGCUGGAGGUAUCAGAAGUGCGAAUGCUGACAUAAGUAACGAUAAAGCGGGUGAAAAGCCCGCUCGCCGGAAGACCAAGGGUUCCUGUCCAACGUUAAUCGGGGCAGGGUGAGUCGACCCCUAAGGCGAGGCCGAAAGGCGUAGUCGAUGGGAAACAGGUUAAUAUUCCUGUACUUGGUGUUACUGCGAAGGGGGGACGGAGAAGGCUAUGUUAGCCGGGCGACGGUUGUCCCGGUUUAAGCAUGUAGGCUGAUUGUCCAGGCAAAUCCGGAUAAUCAAGGCUGAGGUGUGAUGACGAGGCACUACGGUGCUGAAGUAACAAAUGCCCUGCUUCCAGGAAAAGCCUCUAAGCAUCAGGUAACAUUAAAUCGUACCCCAAACCGACACAGGUGGUCAGGUAGAGAAUACCAAGGCGCUUGAGAGAACUCGGGUGAAGGAACUAGGCAAAAUGGUGCCGUAACUUCGGGAGAAGGCACGCUGGUGUGUAGGUGAAGCCCCUGCGGGUGGAGCUGAGACCAGUCGAAGAUACCAGCUGGCUGCAACUGUUUAUUAAAAACACAGCACUGUGCAAACACGAAAGUGGACGUAUACGGUGUGACGCCUGCCCGGUGCCGGAAGGUUAAUUGAUGGGGUUAUCCGUAAGGAGAAGCUCUUGAUCGAAGCCCCGGUAAACGGCGGCCGUAACUAUAACGGUCCUAAGGUAGCGAAAUUCCUUGUCGGGUAAGUUCCGACCUGCACGAAUGGCGUAAUGAUGGCCAGGCUGUCUCCACCCGAGACUCAGUGAAAUUGAACUCGCUGUGAAGAUGCAGUGUACCCGCGGCAAGACGGAAAGACCCCGUGAACCUUUACUAUAGCUUGACACUGAACAUUGAGCCUUGAUGUGUAGGAUAGGUGGGAGGCUUUGAAGCGUGGACGCCAGUCUGCGUGGAGCCAACCUUGAAAUACCACCCUUUAAUGUUUGAUGUUCUAACGUUGGCCCCUUACCGAGGUUGCGGACAGUGUCUGGUGGGUAGUUUGACUGGGGCGGUCUCCUCCCAAAGCGUAACGGAGGAGCACGAAGGUUAGCUAAUCCUGGUCGGACAUCAGGAGGUUAGUGCAAUGGCAUAAGCUAGCUUGACUGCGAGCGUGACGGCGCGAGCAGGUGCGAAAGCAGGUCAUAGUGAUCCGGUGGUUCUGAAUGGAAGGGCCAUCGCUCAACGGAUAAAAGGUACUCCGGGGAUAACAGGCUGAUACCGCCCAAGAGUUCAUAUCGACGGCGGUGUUUGGCACCUCGAUGUCGGCUCAUCACAUCCUGGGGCUGAAGUAGGUCCCAAGGGUAUGGCUGUUCGCCAUUUAAAGUGGUACGCGAGCUGGGUUUAGAACGUCGUGAGACAGUUCGGUCCCUAUCUGCCGUGGGCGCUGGAGAAUUGAGGGGGCUGCUCCUAGUACGAGAGGACCGGAGUGGACGCAUCACUGGUGUUCGGGUUGUCAUGCCAAUGGCACUGCCCGGUAGCUAAAUGCGGAAGAGAUAAGUGCUGAAAGCAUCUAAGCACGAAACUUGCCCCGAGAUGAGUUCUCCCUGAGACUUUAAGUCUCCUGAAGGAACGUUAAAGACGAUGACGUUGAUAGGCCGGGUGUGUAAGCGCAGCGAUGCGUUGAGCUAACCGGUACUAAUGAACCGUGAGGCUUAACCUU
rnacentral:rRNA from 1 species